rnacentral:rRNA from 1 species
CCUACGGGUGGCUGCAGUGAGGAAUAUUGGUCAAUGGGAGAGAUCCUGAACCAGCCAAGCCGCGUGAGGGAAGACGGCCCUAUGGGUUGUAAACCUCUUUUGUCGGGGAACAAAACCCGGGACGUGUCCCCGACUGCGUGUAUCCGAAGCAAAAGCAUCGGCGAACUCCGUGCCCGCAGCCCCGGUAAUACGGAGGAUGCGAGCGUUAUCCUGAUUUAUUGGGUUUAAAGGGUGCGUAGGCGGUUCGUUACGUCAGUGGUAAAAUUGCGGGGCUCAACCCCGUCGAGCCGUUGAAACUGGCAGACUUGAGGUGGCGAGAGGUAGGCAGAAUGCGAGGUGUAGCGGUGAAAUGCAUAGAUAUCGCGCAGAACUCCGAUUGCGAAGGCAGCGUACCGGCGCCAGACUGACGCUGAGGCACGAAAGCGUGGGGAUCGAACAGGAUUAGAUACCCCGGUAGUC